rnacentral:rRNA from 1 species
AUUGAACGCUGGCGGCAGGCCUAACACAUGCAAGUCGAGCGGGGACUUCGGUCCUAGCGGCGAACGGGUGAGUAAUGCUUGGGAAUCUGCCCAGUAGUGGGGGAUAACGUCCCGAAAGGGGCGCUAAUACCGCAUACGUCCUACGGGAGAAAGAGGGGGAUCUUCGGACCUCUCGCUAUUGGAUGAGCCCAAGUCGGAUUAGCUAGUUGGUAGGGUAAUGGCCUACCAAGGCGACGAUCCGUAGCUGGUCUGAGAGGAUGAUCAGCCACACUGGAACUGAGACACGGUCCAGACUCCUACGGGAGGCAGCAGUGGGGAAUAUUGGACAAUGGGCGAAAGCCUGAUCCAGCCAUGCCGCGUGUGUGAAGAAGGCCUUCGGGUUGUAAAGCACUUUAAGCGGGGAGGAAGGUUCGCGGCCUAAUACGUCGCGGAAUUGACGUUACCCGCAGAAUAAGCACCGGCUAACUCUGUG